rnacentral:rRNA from 1 species
AGUGAACGCUGGCGGUAGGCCUAACACAUGCAAGUCGAACGGCAGCACAGUAAGAGCUUGCUCUUACGGGUGGCGAGUGGCGGACGGGUGAGGAAUACAUCUGAAUCUACUUUUUCGUGGGGGAUAACGUAGGGAAACUUACGCUAAUACCGCAUACGACCUACGGGUGAAAGCAGGGGAUCUUCGGACCUUGCGCGAUUGAAUGAGCCGAUGUCGGAUUAGCUAGUUGGCGGGGUAAAGGCCCACCCAGGCGACGAUCCGUAGCUGGUCUGAGAGGAGGAUCAGCGACACUGGAACUGAGACACGGUCCAGACGCCUACGGGAGGCAGCAGUGGGGAAUAUUGGACAAUGGGCGCAAGCCUGAUCCAGCCAUACCGCGUGGGUGAAGAAGGCCUUCGGGUUGUAAAGCCCUUUUGUUGGGAAAGAAAAGCAGCAGGUUAAUACCCCGCUGUUCUGACGGUACCCAAAGAAUAAGCACCGGCUAACUUCGUG